UGCGUGUGUGUGUGUUUCUGACUGAGAGUGAGUGCUUAUUAUGUGUUCAUACCCCUUCAUCUCUACUUUGGACAACCGUCACACUUAGACUCUGUGCUCGGUCCAAUAUGUUAUAACCGGCAAUCAUCCUCACACACACACACACACACACCCUCCUCUAAACCUGACACUUCUCUCAGCGAGUACAAAAACAACAAUCAAUCACCUGCCUCUCCGAUACAUCAGUGACGCCUGCGUCGGGACGGGGUUCUGAUUGGACGAGAGAGGUGUCAGUCAGUGGCUCUUUUGUGAAUCUAGGUCAGACUGCUGUGAGAAUAGAGGCAUGGAGCUCUUCUCUCCCCCCCCCCCCCCACCCCCACCCCACAUCUCCGGUGGCCAUUGGCUGUCUGGAGCAGCCCGGGGAGGCCGUCGCCUCGCAUCAGCCGACGAGCUCUGAAGGAACCAGGGUCGUCUGCACGGCGGGGCCUGCCCACAUGAGCCGAUGGGGAGGGGGUGUGGCAGGAAAGGAGAUCUAAUGGGGAGAUUGGAUGAUUCUUACAGUGUCUUUGAGGGGGGGGGGUGAGGGAGGGCUGGAGAGGGGGGUUCACAGUCAGGGUCGGCUUUAUUUGGUGCUACAUUCAUCUCCUCCUUCGCAGCGGGACGUGGAGACAUGCUGACGGGCCGUUCACUCUCACACGCAUGCACACGCACGCACGCACACACACACACGCACACACACUCUGGCCGAACUUAGAGCCGCCCAUUAAGUAUGGUUGAAGGACAUCGAGACAGAGAGAGAGAGAGAGAGAGGGGGGCAGAGCGAGAGCGAGAGGCCUGGUGACUCCUUGCGGUCUCCAUUUACCGGAGCCUGAGUGGGCUCCGGUUGUACAGGGAGAGGUGGACUGAGGGCAGAUCAGAUGUGACUGUUCUUAAAGGCGAGGAAGAGGAGAAGGACAGCUGGGAGGAGUACAGUGACCGGAGGUUAGCCUCAGUGCUUCUCCUGUGACAUUGGCAGUGUGCGUGUGUGUGUUGACAAGAGCUGGUAUAGUGUCGUUUUUAUGUGUGUCAAGAGUGAGAGGAAGGUAGUGAAUGCCCUUACACGUGUGGGAUGAGAGUGAGUGAGUGUGCGUAUUCACAUGUAUGGUUCUGUGUGUGCGUAUGUGUGCAUGUGCGUGCGUGUGUUACUUCCUGAAGUAAAGAAGCCCCCCCCUGUCUGUUUCUACGGGGAAAACAACAGAAAGUAGAAUUCCCCGCGCCAGCGCGUCUCCGUGCCAAGAAAGACUCUGGUUUCACUAGAGUCUCCCAUUUCCCCUCCUCCCAUCCUUCCCAGUCCACUAGCUGGGUGACAGUCUGUGUACAGAACUGUGUACAGAAAGCGUGCUAUACACCUAACUGACUUUUUUUUUUUAUUAAUGUGUAGAUUAAGUUUAGUUUUCAGCGGUGACACCAACACAACACUGUACGUCCUCACUACUGCUUUCGUUGGAUUGCUUUGCAUUCAGACAUUUUGCCUGUUCACAUUGAAUUUUCUCUUCUCUUGUGUCUUUUUCUUUUUACUGAUUUGAAUUCAUUUUAUUUUGGGUAUUUUUUUGGAAAUGAUUGGACAUGAUUUUAAUUUUGACUGUGUUUAACCGUCAAGAAAAGAUGACUUGGGAGGUUCCGAUCGGGUUUUUAUUUUUGCUAAAAUAUUGUUUCACCCCAGUGCAGUCCCAUGAUGAUCCGUCGUGACUACAGUGUUCUGUCGAUGUAACAUCUAAUGUUCUUUCUUUCUUCUAUAAACCGUGAUGCUCCACAAACUCUGUGCUGCCGGCAACGGCACAGUCUGUAAUAUAAUGAGGGCCGCGAAGGUCAACGACCCUUGACCUUUGCCCUAUGCUCCUAACAGCGGACCCCACCCCCCCCCUACACCCCUCCGAACUGGGGGACCAGGGAGGGCAUUCAGCCUACAGUAUUGUGUGUGUCAUCGAUGGGGUCCUCCCCGGGGGGGGGGGCUCUGCUUCGUACCCCAACACAAGCCCGUCCCAAGCUCUCCAUUUGGGGCCGUACAGGGUCAGAACUAGGGUCUGGGGCCCGGUCUUCUCUGGGGGGCCCCCAGAACGGGUCGGGGAUUCGGGGGAAUGGAAACCGGUCGGACAGAGAGGAGAUUUCCGUUUGACGGCUCAGAAAACACUGGAGGAGGGUUUAUCCAACAUAUUGUGAUGUUUUCACUCAAACGUGGAGUACACGAAAGAAGAAAAAUAAUACUACGAUACCGUGACUUUGUAGAUCUUUUGCACUCGUUGACUACCUAUCUGUGCAUGCCCAUUCACCACUUCUACAUGUGAAGCCCUUUUUCUCAGGCCAUGCUGUCGAAUACCGAUCCUAUUUAUGUCAAAAAGGCUUUGUGACUACAAUCAUAUCUUCAGUGUAUACGAGAUCACACCGUUCAAUAUAUAUCUAUAAAUGUGUGUGCGUCUUUUCCUGAACAUAAACAAAAAGGAUGCCAAGAUUUCAGAUUUGUUUUUAAAAAAAAGGAAAUGGAAUCAGGCGGCCGAGGGGAAUUGGGUUAUCGCCGGUCGGUUGACUCUCGUCGCCGGAACCGACGACUGAAGGCAGCAGAGUGGGGGGUAGAACGACGAAGAGACAAUAUUAACUUAGGCUGUGAGUGGAAAAAAAACAAAAAAACAAAAACAACAACAACAUACUAUGGUGAGAUUUGUGAGAUUUGCACAACAGUUCUCUUAAGUGUUACAUUCAUCGUUCCCCGGUCCUGUUGACCUCCCUAUCCUACCUGUAGGUCUGACUAGGUUAGUCCCUGCUCCCCACCCAUGGUCAGGGAUCACCCUGCCAUCAGACUGCCCUGUAUGACAGGAGGGGGUGCUGGGUGGAGGGUGCGGCAGCUGACGGAGGUGAUGCUAGUUUCCACAGCUGUGACAGUGAGUGCAGUGACACAGCAUGCCUAUGUAUAGAACUCGUUCCCCCCGGAUUAGACGAAGAAGAAAAAAAUGGUGAACUCACUUUGUUUCUGUAACUGAUCCAGGCAAAAAAAUGAAAAUAUAUAUAUAUGAAAAGUUCAAUGAAAAAGUUCAAUAAAAUUGUCAUGUUUGUAGGUAACUUUUAACGGCUGUGGUCUUUAUUUUUCUCUUUGCGCGGUCCGACGUGUGAACGUAACAAUGUGACAAGGUGACACGGUAACAAGGUAAACAGGUAACAAGGUAACAAGGUAACAAGGUAACAACUCCACUCAAGGAUAUAGGGGUAUCAUAUUUUGGUGCCGGUCUUGGAUAGAAUCACUAAGCAGACUAGUCCUUAAGGGAUGUUUACUGGCACGAUCAUGAGUACAUUUAUUAAAUCCUAAACAAACAGAAUCUCUAAAUACCAACAGAUAUUCCAGCUUUGAAGCUUCCCACUCUGAGAUCCUCAGACAGGCCAUAUCUGCUGUACUGAAGCCCUCCCCAA
ensembl:lncRNA